GAGCUUGAUGCUCUCCUCCCUGGCCCAGGAAGGAAAGGAGGUAAAUCAUCAUCAUCAUCAUCAUCAUCAUCCAGUAGUUUAAUCUAAGGGGCUGGUUUCGUUUGGAUGGAGUAACAUGCAAGUGUGAGGGAAGGAGUGACUCAGGCAAGGCUUUUCAUAGAGAAAGAGUCUCUGCCAGCUUGUCCAAGGCUGGGUGCAACCCUUUUGAGAGUUAUUAUAAUGAGUUUUUGGUGUAUCUCAGACACUGCCAAAAUCCCGGACUUGGCAAGGUGCGGUGGCUUAUGCGUAUAAUCCCAGCACUCUGGGAAGCCCAGGUGGGUGGAUCACAUGAGGCCAGGAGUUCCAGACCAGCCUGGCCAACAUGGCAAAACUCCAUCUCUACUAAAAAUACAAAAAUUAGCCGGGCAUGGUGGUGCACAUCUGUAGUCCUAGCUACUUGGGAGGCUGAGGCAGGGGAAUAGGGUUGAUGGAAUUUCUAACAUUUAAGCUCAGGGGUACAUGUGCAGGAUGUGCAGGUUUGUUACAUAGGUAAAUGUGUACCAUGGUGGUCCACUGCACAGAUCAUCCCAUCACCUAGGUAUUAAGCCCAGCAUCCGUUAGCUAUUGUUCCUGAUGCUCUCCCUCCUCCCACCCCUCACCCUCUGACACGCCCCAGUCUGUGCUGUUCCUCCCAUGUGUCCAUGUCUUCUUAGGUUGAUGUGGUCUUGAGUGACCCCUCCUUGCCUUUCCUCUUUA
rnacentral:lncRNA from 1 species